UGCGGGUGUGCUCUGCGCUCUAGUUGUCCUCUGCUCCGUCGUAGUCGGCCGGCGGAAUCGGUGACGCCGUGGUCAGCCGGCUGAAUCGGCGAAGUGGUGCUCCAGCGAGAUCUAUUUGCUGUUAUGCUCCGAGCUGCCAUCUCCGUCGUCCUCGGAUCCGGUUGUUUUCCUGGUUUGAUUCGCUCUCAAAUAACCUCAUAUGUUCGGUUGAUUUGGGGUCUAUUGCCGGCGGAUCGUGGUCAUCUAUUUACGUCUAAUAAAUUUCCAUGCGUGUUUACCUCGUCCCUGAAAAUUGGUGCAGCACCUGGAUUUUCACAUGUUUUGGAUAGAUGCGUUAGAGGUGGUUCAGUUAUGGCAUGAAAUUUGAUGGGCGGUUGACUCGCUGAGGGAAAACUAGUUAUCCAUCGCAUUCAUAGAUUUAUUAUUGCAGGUUCUGGGCUUACCUUGCUCAGCAUGUAGGUCAAGGCGUCUCUCCUAGCAUGAAAAUUAUUAGUUCAUGUAAAGUGAGCAGAAGAGAAGACGCACCUAAUAAUCUAUGUUCAACACCAGGGCGUAGGAACUCUCCUCUGUCCAUAGAUCCAGGCUGUGCAGACACCAUAGCUCACCAAUCCCGACAUUUCGUAGCUCACAUGAGUACGACCACGAGAGAUCUAACACCAUUGGCGCUGAGAACGGCGCUGAGAACAACACAUUGAAAUGGCCAUACAUGUCAGCUCACAAUGUGAUCUGCUUAAGCACGGGGCCCCGAUAUCAAGGUCACCAAGACACCGGUAGCCACGCAAGACAAGCUACUCAAUCGUCGGCUAACAGCGGAAGCACGGAGGCAACACCAUCGGCUCACCGUACAAGAUGUCCAGUCAGAGGACAGCAGGCUAAUGAGCUCUUUAGAAAGAAGCUAGAGAUGUUUUGCAGUGGUCCAUACCGGAGAUCUCGUUCCCAUUGACGGCUCCUCCGCUCGCAGAGGUGUCACUGUCCUUAUUACGGUGACUCCGACAGCAGAGCUUUCGUUCUGGACAUCAGCUCCCCGGAUAAUUCUCCCUGCUAGUGAAGGUUUAGGGAAAACGACGUGAUUCUGGUUAUAUUGGUCAGAUGUGUUCUUUCCUGGGGAAGCAAUCAGUUUCAAUUGAUUGUAAGUAAACUGUAAUAAGUGGCUCUAAAAGACCCCUUUUGGAACGCCUGAAUUUGAUGGAAAACGAGUGUAAAUUGUUCUGUUUUCACACUAGUGAUUAUGUUUGCCGAUAUCAUUAUGAUUUUUCCGUACAACUAAUUAAAUUAUGCUGCUAUGUGAAUGUUUGGUGAUAUGAUUA